GCUACCACCUUCUCAAUAAACGCAAAAGAUUAAAAAGAAAAAAAAACAUAAAAACUAAAUCAAUAAUAAAGCGGGAAGGUCUCUCAGGUCAAGGUGAUGGCGUCGAAACGGAUCCUGAAGGAGCUGAAGGACCUCCAGAAAGAUUCUCCUACUUCAUGCAGCACUGGUAUUUUCCAUUUCCAAACCCGAUCCGUUUCCUCUUCUUUU